rnacentral:rRNA from 1 species
UACGUAGGGGGCAAGCGUUGUCCGGAUUUAUUGGGCGUAAAGAGCGUGUAGGCGGCUUUGCAGGUCCGUUGUGAAAACUCGAGGCUCAACCUCGAGACGCCGGUGGAAACUGCAAAGCUAGAGUCCGGAAGAGGAGAGUGGAAUUCCUGGUGUAGCGGUGAAAUGCGCAGAUAUCAGGAAGAACACCCGUGGCGAAGGCGGCUCUCUGGGACGGUACUGACGCUGAGACGCGAAAGCGUGGGGAGCGAACAGG